AUACCUUCUCGGCCUCUUGGCUAAGAUCAAUUUGUAGUACCUGUUCUUAUCAGCGUGAUAGCUGAUACGAGUCCAAUUGGACUCUAUCUUAUCACGGGUAUUUUUCGCUGGGGAAGAUGUCCGCCAUGGGCUUGCCCGGUGGCUCUUCAGGCGUCGCCUCCCCCUAACACUUUUGGGUUGUGCGGUGCACCCACU
rfam:Babesia bigemina strain Bond genome assembly, chromosome: III